rnacentral:rRNA from 1 species
UGGGGAAUUUUGGACAAUGGGCGAAAGCCUGAUCCAGCAAUGCCGCGUGUGUGAAGAAGGCCUUCGGGUUGUAAAGCACUUUGUCCGGAAAGAAAUCCUUGGCUCUAAUACAGUCGGGGGAUGACGGUACCGGAAGAAUAAGCACCGGCUAACUACGUGCCAGCAGCCGCGGUAAUACGUAGGGUGCAAGCGUUAAUCGGAAUUACUGGGCGUAAAGCGUGCGCAGGCGGUUUGCUAAGACCGAUGCGAAAUCCCCGGGCUCAACCUGGGAACUGCAUUGGUGACUGGCAGGCUAGAGUAUGGCAGAGGGGGGUAGAAUUCCGACGUGUAGCAGUGAAAUGCGUAGAGAUGUGGAGGAAUACCGAUGGCGAAGGCAGCCCCUGGGCCAAUACUGACGCUCAUGCACGAAAGCGUGGGGAGCAAACAGGAUUAGAUACCCUGGUAGUCCACGCCCUAAACGAUGUCAACUAGUUGUUGGGGGAUUCAUUUCCUUAGUAACGUAGCUAACCGCGUGAAGUUGACCGCCUGGGGAGUACGGU